rnacentral:rRNA from 1 species
UACGUAGGGGGCUAGCGUUGUCCGGAAUCAUUGGGCGUAAAGCGCGUGUAGGCGGCCCGGUAAGUCCGCUGUGAAAGUCGGGGGCUCAACCCUCGGAUGCCGGUGGAUACUGUCGGGCUCGAGUACGGAAGAGGCGAGUGGAAUUCCUGGUGUAGCGGUGAAAUGCGCAGAUAUCAGGAGGAACACCAAUUGCGAAGGCAGCUCGCUGGGACGUUACUGACGCUGAGACGCGAAAGCGUGGGGAGCAAACAGGG